GACGAACGCUGGCGGCGUGCCUAAUACAUGCAAGUAGAACGCUGAAGGAGGAGCUUGCUCUUCUGGAUGAGUUGCGAACGGGUGAGUAACGCGUAGGUAACCUGCCUGGUAGCGGGGGAUAACUAUUGGAAACGAUAGCUAAUACCGCAUAACAGUAGAUGUUGCAUGACAUUUGCUUAAAAGGUGCAAUUGCCCCACUACCAGAUGGACCUGCGUUGUAUUAGCUAGUUGGUGGGGUAACGGCUCACCAAGGCGACGAUACAUAGCCGGCCUGAGAGGGGGAACGACCCACCCUGGACUGGGACACGGCCCAGACUCCUUCGGGAGGCAGCAGUAGGGAAUCUUCGGCAAUGGACGGAAGUCUGACCGAGCAACGCCGCGUGGGAGAAGGAGGGUUUCGGGUCGGAAAGGUCUGUUGUAAGGGAAGAACGAGUGUGAGAGUGGAAAGUUCACACUGUGACGGUAUCUUACCAGAAAGCGACGGCUAACUACGUG
rnacentral:rRNA from 1 species